UUAAGUCAGGCAACGAGCGAGACCCACGCCCACAGUUGCCAGCGUACUCUCCGGAGUGACGGGUACACUGUGGGGACUGCCGCUGCUAAAGCGGAGGAAGGAAUGGGGCAACGGUAGGUCAGUAUGCCCCCGAAUAUCCCGGGCUACACGCGAGCUACAAUGGUUGGUACAAUGGGUAUCUACCCCGAAAGGGGACGGAAAUCUCCUAAAACCAAUCUUAGUUCGGAUUGAGGGCUGCAACUCGCCCUCAUGAAGCUGGAAUCCGUAGUAAUCGCGUUUCAACAGAACGCGGUGAAUACGUCCCUGCUCCUU
rnacentral:rRNA from 1 species